UAUGGAUACAACAUUGAAAUUCCGCGAUUUUAACAAACAUCAAUCCGGACAUCGGGAUAAGGAAAAAGGCCAAUCCCAGUUGGAAUAGUUUAAAAAUAACUCAAAAAUAUUCUGCCAACAAAAACACAUAUCUACCAAUGGUAUAGUACACGCUAAAAUUGUUCUGCGGGGCGCAAGGAAUGUGUGCUCGGGCCGCGGGUUGGACCACCCUGAUCUACCCUAUCAAGCUCGGCACAACCAGUACCUAUUCAUAAUUAUGUAUAACUGCUAUAAUUGGAAGCGAAAUGUUUGGAUGUCUUGUCUCAGUCUAGGCCAAUAUUCGGUGUGAAUCAGUGUUUACAGGUUCUGUAUUGUUGAUAGUACUCGUUAUGUAUCUGUUGGAAAUAACUAUUUGUAAAUUUACAAAUUCUUUAAGAAGUGAGGUUCUCAAGUGUAAUACAAAUAUAAUUUAGGGCAGUCAAAUGAGCACAGUAACUACUGCUUUAAUAUUUUAGUUAUAAAGCUUGGAUUUUAUUUACUUCAGAGCAUAUUUCGUCCGAUUGUUUUGCUUGUGGAGUCAAAACAUUAGAUGCCAUGUUCCUGAUUCUAUUCCAAGUUCCAUCGUGUUGACUGUUUUGAACAAACUACACAGAUUCCUAGUUGAAUUUCAUUAGGACAGCACUUAACACUAGUAACUGGUUCAGAAACAAAUCGUUUAGUUCGUGACAGGACUUGUUUAUUAGGGGCGCGUUGUCGAAGAUCUCCAACCACUAAUACUCAACUACGAAUGUAAACUUUCCCCUUUCUUCUAAAUAGUCAAAAACAUUUGAAGAAUAUCCUAUCGUCAAAACCAGAAGAAUGAGCAUGUAUUCAAAAUGAAACGAAACAUUGCUAUUGUUUCUAGAGAAGGAUCAAAACCUACUUUCAUCACCCUUCCGAAAGUUACAAAAUCAUCUACACAGAAAGCUAGACUCACAUCUUCCAUUAAACUUUCGAUUUCUGGUUUUCUUCUCUCUGAGGGUAUUUGAGUUUUGAGUCAAUUUCUCAUGCUUAAUUUUUUUUUAAAUUUAUUGCGGAACUGCGCGUUCUGUUUGACAAAUUCGAAAACUACUGUGCGAUCAUUGUCGACGAAACGCCAGGGAAAUUAUAGAAAUGAAUUUGUAAUCCCCAUCUCCAAAUUAACAUUAUUUUGAUUAUUAUCUUCCGUGUCGGCUUUGAUCUUUCUUAUCGUUACUUUAAAAUGAAAAAGUGAAAAAUAUCUUUGCUACUGGUCUCGGGAUUCGUUGUAUUUUUCUGUCGCAUCCAUGCUUUUGCAUUAAAUGUAACUCAUGAAAUGUCGUCACUGCGGAUCGGUAAAAAUUUCUGAUAUGAUUGACUAAAUGUUACCUCAUUAAAAACUUGUAUCAAUGUUUCCCAUCUUACAAAACUUCCAACUGAAUAAUUGAAAAUCAUGCGACAUUGGGGGAACAUUAUGCUCAUCGAGGAAUUGAAACAAUAUCAUAUCCACUAGAAAUAAAUAAAAAUAUUAUAACGCAAA